UACGGAGGGUGCAAGCGUUAUCCGGAAUUAUUGGGCGUAAAGCGCGCGCAGGCGGUUUCUUAAGUCUGAUGUGAAAGCCCACGGCUCAACCGUGGAGGGUCAUUGGAAACUGGGGAACUUGAGUGCAGAAGAGAAAAGCGGAAUUCCACGUGUAGCGGUGAAAUGCGUAGAGAUGUGGAGGAACACCAGUGGCGAAGGCGGCUUUUUGGUCUGUAACUGACGCUGAGGCGCGAAAGCGUGGGGAGCAAACAGG
rnacentral:rRNA from 1 species